rfam:Gossypium hirsutum cultivar TM-1 chromosome 23, whole genome shotgun sequence
UGUUCCAUCCAUUUCUACCACUAAAAACUGACAUGGCUGACAAAAUAAUCAAAUAGUUAUACAUGACGUGUCACGUAUACCUUAUGCUAAUAUAUAGAGGCUAAUUUUAAACAGUAAAAAUAGAUGAAAUUUUUAACA